AACGAACGCUGGCGGCGUGGAUAAGACAUGCAAGUCGAACGGGAUAACAUCUGUAGCAAUACAGGUGUUAUUUAGUGGCGAACGGGUGCGUAACACGUGGGCAAUCUGCCGAGAAGUGGGGGAUAGCUCGCCGAAAGGCGAAUUAAUACCGCAUAUGAUCAGUGAAGACAUCUUCACGACAUCAAAGCCGGGGUAACCUGGCGCUUCUUGAUGAGCCCGCGGCCAUCAGCUAGUUGGUGAGGUAACGGCUCACCAAGGCUA
rnacentral:rRNA from 1 species